AAGUUAUCACGAAAGGCGGAGGGAAAGACCCAAUGAAACCUUAGCAACCCUUUAUCUUUAAAGAAGGUGCUACAUUCUACUUUAAACUACAAUUUUUUAGUUUCUAAGAUAGAUAACAU
rnacentral:ncRNA from 2 species